GAUGAACGCUGGCGGCGUGCUUAAUACAUGCAAGUCGAGCGAACAGACGAGGAGCUUGCUCCUUUGUCGUUUGCGGCGGACGGGUGUGUAACACGAGUAUCCCCUCCCUAUAUGACUGGUAAAACUUGGGGAAACCGGCGCAAAUACCGGAUAAUCUAUUGAACCGCAGGGUUCAAUGGUGAGAGACGGCUUUUCUGGCAGUUCUAGCUGCUUCUGAGCCGGAUUAGCUAGUUGGUAAGGUAAUGGCUUAUCACGGCGACGAUGCGUAGCCGACCUGCGAGAGUGAUCGGCCACAUUGGAGCUUGGACACGGUCCAGAGUCCUACGGGAGGCAGCAGUAGGGAAUCUGCCGCAAUAGGCGGAAGCCUGACAGAGCAACGCCGCGUGAGUGAUGAAGGUCUUCGGAUCGUAAAACUCUGUUAUUAGGUAAGAACAAAUGUGUAAGUAACUAUGCACUUCUUGACGGUACCUAAUCAGAAAGCCACGGCUAACUACGUG
rnacentral:rRNA from 1 species